rnacentral:rRNA from 1 species
UACGUAGGCGGAAUGCUAAGUAUCUUGUGAAAUCCCUCGGCUCAACCGAGGAAUUGCAGGGUAAACUGGCAUUCUUGAGGCAGGUAGAGGUAACUGGAACUCAUGGUGGAGCGGUGGAAUGCGUAGAUAUCAUGGGGAACGCCAAAGGUGAAGACAAGUUACUGGGCCUGUCCUGACGCUGAGGUACGAAAGCGUGGGUAGCAAACAGGAUUAGAUACCCUGGUAGUCC